rnacentral:rRNA from 1 species
AUACGUAGGUGACAAGCGUUAUCCGGAUUUACUGGGCGUAAAGGGCGUGUAGGCGGUCUUGCAAGUCAGAAGUGAAAUUCCUGAGCUCAACUCGGGCGCUGCUUCUGAAACUGCAGGACUUGAGUGCUGGAGGGGAUAGCGGAAUUCCUAGUGGAGCGGUAAAAUGCGCAGAUAUUAGGAAGAACACCGGUGGCGAAGUCGGUGAUCUGGACAGGAACUGACGCUGAGGCGCGAAAGCGUGGGGAGCAAGCAGGAUUAGAUACCCUGGUAGCCCACGCCGUAAACGAUGAAUACUAGGUGUAGGGGGUAUCGACUCCCUCUGUGCCGCAGUUAACACAAUAAGUAUUCCGCCUGGGGAGUACGGCCGCAAGGUUGAAACUCAAAGGAAUUGACGGGG